rnacentral:rRNA from 1 species
UACGUAGGGGGCAAGGCGUUGUCCGGAAUUAUUGGGCGUAAAGAGCGUGUAGGCGGUCCGGUAAGUCAGCUGUGAAAGUCAAGGGCUCAACCCUUGAAAGCCGGUUGAUACUGUCGGGCUAGAGUCCGGAAGAGGCGAGUGGAAUUCCCGGUGUAGCGGUGAAAUGCGCAGAUAUCGGGAGGAACACCAAUGGCGAAGGCAGCUCGCUGGGACGGUACUGACGCUGAGGCGCGAAAGCGUGGGGAGCA